rnacentral:rRNA from 1 species
UACGUAGGUGGCAAGCGUUGUCCGGAUUUACUGGGCGUAAAGAGCGCGCAGGCGGUCGUUCAAGUCGCGUGUGAAAGCCCCCGGCUCAACGUGGGGAGGGUCACGCGAUACUGAUCGACUCGAAGGCAGGAGAGGGUAGGUGGAAUUCCCGGUGUAGUGGUGAAAUGACGUAGAUAUCGGGAGGAACACCAGUGGCGAAGGCGGCUCACCUGGCCCAUAACUGACGCUGAGGCACGAAAGCGUGGGGAGCAAACAGGG